rnacentral:tRNA from 1 species
UGGUCUAGUUGGUUAUGACGACUGCCUAACACGCAGUAGGUCCCGAGUUCGAUUCUCGG